UACGGGGGGAGCAAGCGUUGUUCGGAUUUACUGGGCGUAAAGGGCGCGUAGGCGGCCACCGCAAGUCGACUGUGAAAUCUCCGGGCUUAACCCGGAAAGGUCAGCCGAUAUUGCGGGGCUAGAGUGCAGAAGGGGCAACUGGAAUUCUCGGUGUAGCGGUGAAAUGCGUAGAUAUCGAGAGGAACACCUGCGGCGAAGGCGGGUUGCUGGGCUGACACUGACGCUGAUGCGCGAAAGCUAGGGGAGCGAACGGG
rnacentral:rRNA from 1 species